CAGCAGCCGCCGCGGGAAUACGAAGGGUGCAAGCGUUACUCGGAAUUACUGGGCGUAAAGCGUGCGUAGGUGGUGGUUUAAGUCCGUUGUGAAAGCCCUGGGCUCAACCUGGGAAUUGCAGUGGAUACUGGGUCACUAGAGUGUGGUAGAGGAUAGUGGAAUUUCCGGUGUAGCAGUGAAAUGCGUAGAGAUCGGAAGGAACAUCUGUGGCGAAGGCGACUAUCUGGGCCAACACUGACACUGAGGCACGAAAGCGUGGGGAGCAAACAGGAUUAGAUACCCGUGUAGUCCCUGUCUCUUA
rnacentral:rRNA from 1 species